GCUCUCUAAGCUCCACCUGGGCCCACCUGCUUUCGCACAUGUGGCUUUCACAAUAGGAAGUGAGCUGCGAAGCAUGUCCUUGGGACCUAGGACUGGUCUCGUGGUGCCCACUCUGUCCUUGGGGUGCAUAACUGGC